rnacentral:rRNA from 1 species
AGUCAAUAGAUACCCGGGUAGUCCAUGCCGUAAACGAUGAUUGCUAGGUGUGGGGGGUCUGACCCCUUCCGUGCCGGAGUUAAACACAAAUAAGCAAUCCACCUGGGGAGUACGGCCGCAAGGUUGAAACUCAAAGGAAUUGACGGGGGCCCGCACAAGCAGUGGAGUAUGUGGUUUAAUUCGAAGCAACGCGAAGAACCUUACCAGGUCUUGACAUCCACCGAAUCCUGUAGAGAUACGGGAGUGCCCUUCGGGGAACGGUGAGACAGGUGGUGCAUGGUUGUCGUCAGCUCGUGUCGUGAGAUGUUGGGUUAAGUCCCGCAACGAGCGCAACCCUUGUGAAUAGUUGCUACGAAAGAGCACUCUAUUCAGACCGCCGUUGACAAAACGGAGGAAGGUGGGGAUGACGUCAAAUCAUCAUGCCCCUUAUGACCUGGGCUACACACGGUACUACAAUGGCCGUUAACAGAGGGAUGCAAUGCCGCGAGGUGGAGCGAACCCCUAAAAACGGUCUCAGUUCAGAUUGCAGGCUGAAACU